rnacentral:tRNA from 1 species
GCCGUCGUAGACCAACGAAGAGUCGGCAGCCUUGGAAGCUGCAUAGUGGAGGUUCGAGUCCUCCAGGCGGCA